CUGGAGGUGAUGUGCUCUGUUCCUGCUGAUGGGCAAUGAUGGUGUUUGUAUUCAUACUGCCUGAUCCAG
ensembl:snoRNA small nucleolar RNA SNORD41